GCUGCUUCGGUGUGCUGUGCGGUGCGUAUCGGUGCGUCUGUUCUUCCCCCCCUUUCAACCCCACCCGGACACCUAGUGAACCAGCGUGUAUAGAUGAGCUGACCAGGAGAGCUAGGGCGUGUUUAAGUGUGUCCCAAAACCCCAAACGCAUCAGUGGCUAGCGACCGAGCCAGAAAAAGUUCCUUCCAAAACGUGACCCCAGCGAGUGAGCGGUCCGGCGGCCCCCGACAGGACACGAAGGACACUACAGCGCGUUCCGCCGUAGCGCCCGCACCGUCUGAACCCCGAGCAGUGUGUAGUGUCCGUGCCGUGCCGUGCCGCAGCCGUCUUCAGGAUGCAGUCCACGAUGGUGACCGUCAGCGGGCUGCUCUUCAUGGUGCUGGCCGCCGCAUCGGCCGCAACCGUCUACGAGCGACCCCCGUACAUUCUGCCGUGCCGACGAAGUGACCCGGAAAUCAACAAAUGCAUCCGGAACUCGCUGAACUUUGUCAAACCGUACGUGGCCCGUGGACUGCCCGAGCUCAAGACGCCCGCCCUGGAACCGCUGCGCAUCGAGGAGCUGGCGAUGGAGAACAAUGCCGGGGCGGUGCGGAUAAAGGCACUGUUCACCGACAUUGUGGCGCACGGCGCCGGUAACUACACGAUCAAGGAGGUUCGCAGCGACCUGAAGAAGCUGCGCAUCGACAUGAGCAUCGGCAUUCCGCGCGUGGAGUCCCGCGGAAAGUAUGAGGUGAUCGGAAACGUGCUGCUGUUGCCGGUGCGCUCGAACGGCGAGUUUUGGACCGAAUUUUCUGACAUCACGGCCAUCGCCAAGAUCUACGGCAAAUCGGUCGAGCGGGAUGGUGAAACGUUCAUGGCCAUCGACAAGAUCACGAUCGACUUCACGAUGAAGAACGCGCGCUUCAAGGUGAAGGAUCACGUCAACACGCAGAAUGUUCUCGGUGAGGCCAUCAACCAGUUCCUCAACCAGAACGCGAACGAACUGAUCCAAGAGAUGAGACCGGCGGCCUCCCAGAGCAUCGGCAAGCUGUUCCGGAAGUUCUUGAACGACGCCUUCACCAACCUGCCGACGCGGUUGUGGCUGCUCGACGACUAACCGUUCCCCCUCCCCCACCAGUUCCCAAUCCCUAAUCCCGCCUUCCCGUCCACUAGCGUUAGGUUGUUCUUAGAGCAUAAGUGAUACAUAAUCCUAAGGAGCGUUGCUGUGCAAACUUUUCACCCGUUCGUGUCAGUGUCAGUCAGUCGGGUCAGGACGACGACGGAGGUCCGCCCACCUACCACACCACACAGGAAUCGCUUCAAAGGGAUGGGCGUGUAGAAAAAAAUAAUGUACAAACUUCAAGCAGUAAAACCCGCAACCCCGAACCCGGACAUCUAUCCGCGUGUCAUAGUGACGAUCAUUGGGAUAGUGGCACUACUACCACCGACAUCAGGAGUACAGAUGAAUGUAAAACACAAAACACGAACGCGGCCAACCACGUACUAGGAUUAAGGUGUAAAUAUUACGUUGUAGCGCUACAACACAGCGAUCUGUAACACAUGAUAAUAAAGUAACGAAAA